rnacentral:lncRNA from 1 species
UUUGCUGCUCCCUGCCUGCACACUCCUUUGAUAUAAAUAGAGAGCCAGGGAGGUUGUAAAGCUGAAAGAUACAGUGUGCAAUAGGAAAUACCAGGGAAAGGGAUGGAUCCUUCUCGCCCCAGGGUCCUGCUGUCCUCUGCUAUGUUACACCGUCUUUUGUAGACUCAGCCAAGCCUGUUGUGGAAGGAGUGGCUCUCGGAGCCAUGCUGGACCUGACCAUGCCUUGCUAUGGAAUGGAAUCACUGGGGAGACCAUCAGCUAAGGGCCCUAGCGUGGCCAGAAGAGGAGUUUGGAUCAUUGCCACCAGUGAAACCAAGACCUGUAGGGAUGCAUGAAGAAGUUUCUUCAUGACUCAUUCCCAUUUCAUACCCUUUGACUGCUUGUGAAAAAUACAGCAGACAUGUGUAGAGAGGUGAAGGCUCCUGCAUUUUGCAUUGGAAGAGGGAUUCAUCUUGCCAAGAGUAUACAACGUAAAUCUGCUUUCUAAAGGACUUGGCCAACUGUGGAAAAUCCACCAAACCUGAUGUCUGGCCCCAUUCAGAUCACACACUGGGGCGGACGCGGGACUGACGUGAGCGAGCAUCGCCCCGGGAGUGCGCUGGUUACCAAGCCCUCUGAGCAGCGCUGGGGGCCUUGGCUCCAUCGCAUUAGCAAUCCAGAGCACAAGAAAAGCACAGCCCACCACAACCUACCAGUGCUGUGUGCUCCUUGAAGACCAAACCCACAGCCACACAUCCUGGGCAGACAGAAGUCUCCUCUAAGCAGGCGUGGUGGUUUGAACCAUGGUGCCCAGAGUCUACGCCUGUCAGAGCCACCCACGGAGCAGCAGAGGGCUGAAAGGGCCAACUGGAACCGCAAGAUCUGGUGAGGACCCGAGAACUGGAGACAGACAAAGAACUUGGAUCCAUCUGCUAACAUGAAGUCAUCACCUGAUUGCAAAGCCAGAGAGCUGGGAGAGCAUUUGAAUGGCUGCUGCUGCUGCCGCAGUGAUAAAUUAGAUAGCUUUGAGAGCACUUUAGAGCUGGGCGGAAAAUUCAGUUGCUCUCCUGCCAAUUUCAUCCUGUAAGUGGAAUUAACGCUUGCUUUAGCUGCACUCUCCAGCCAUGAGCAAGUGUCCCUUGUUCACUGUCUCCAAGGGAUUUUGCUCUCUGGGAAUGGUGUGUAUCUGAAGCAGGAGGAAGCGGGCAGAGGAGAGGCUUAGCUGCGUGCACAGCACCAAGGGGAGCACCACAGGAACAUGGGCCCAUCUUGGCCCUAGUGCCUCACUCAGACAGCUUAGACCUGGGUCUGAAAAGCAAGGUUUGAGACCACCGAUGAGGCAGUGGCU